rnacentral:rRNA from 1 species
AUCGCCUCCCGCACUUACCAAAUAUGGGAGGUCCCGCCUGCCCUGUGAUAACAAUUUAACGGCCGCGGUAUUUUGACCGUGCAAAGGUAGCGCAAUCACUUGUCUUUUAAAUGAAGACCUGUAUGAAUGGCAUGACGAGGGCUUGACUGUCUCCCCCCUCCAGUCAAUGAAACUGAUCUCCCCGUGCAGAAGCGGGGAUAAAGACAUAAGACGAGAAGACCCUGUGGAGCUUUAGACAAAACGUGGCACCCGUAAAGAACUUUGUUUCAACCCAAUAAAAACAGAAGGUUGCUCCCACGCAAAUGUCUUCGGCUGGGGCGGCCGCGGAGUACCAAAAAACCCCCGCGUGAAAAGGUGUAACCUUCACUUAAGCCUAGAGUCUCCUCUCUAAGUAGCAGAAUUUCUGAUCUAAAUUGACCCGGCAUUACCUGCCGAUCAACGGAACCAGUUACCCCAGGGAUAACAGCGCAAUCCUCUCCCAGAGCCCAUAUCGACGAGGGGGUUUACGACCUCGAUGUUGGAUCAGGACAUCCUAAUGGUGUAGCCGCUAUUAAGGGCUCGUUUGUUCAACGAUUAAAGUCCUACGUGAU